ensembl:lncRNA
GCUUGAGCCAAGAGUUGGAGGAGGGAGAAAGGAAGAAGGAAUAUUUUUAGUGAAGCUGGAACCAGGAAAGGAAUGGAUAUUUACAUAAUAAUGAAAGGUCCUAGGAAGGAAAGGUUGGUCUGGUCAAGAAUAUUAGGCCAGAAAAAAAAAAAAAGAAUAUUAAGCCAGAAGAGCCAUCAGAAAAAAACUAGAAAAUAGAGAGCAGGCAGGAGGAUUUAACCUCCCUAGAGGAAGACAAGAGAAGCAAUGCUGGGCGGAGACCGACUGGCUGGAAUCCAGGCAAGGUCCAUCCCUAAAUUAGGAUCCUGGAGCCCAGUUUCGACCUGGGGCAGUUAAGAUGGAGAGUUCCACUGGAGCAGAGUUGAAAGAACGAAGCAGCUGAAGAUAAACACCUGAUUGAUGUAUGAGAUGAAGAACUCCAAGGAGUUUAAGUUCCAGUCGGUUUGCCAGCAUUCACUCUCCUUGGCAAUUGCCUGGGCCGUUUUUGACACAGGCAGCUUUUUUAUUUAGUAUUUAGGUUUUAGUGCUUAAAAUAACUACCUUUGAUAACUUGGGUUGAACUGCACAUAACAACUUAUUUGAAAAUGGCUCAUGUUUCUUUUGUAUCCUUUCAGCACUCAUGCAUUUAAUUUCACACUAUUGCUGUUACUUUGUACUUCCUGCUGUAUUUGUGAGAUCAUUCUUGGAUGUUCUAGCUCCCUAACUGGUGAUAAGGAUCUCAUAUUAAGAGCAUAUCUUAGGCUGGGCAUGGUGGCACACACCUGUGAUCCCAGCACUCAGGAGGCUGAGGCAGGAGGAUCACAGUGAGUUUGAGGCCAGCCUGGGCCUAAGUUCAAGGCCAACCUGAAUUACAUAGUGAGAACCUGUCUCAAAAAAAAAAAAAAAAAAAAAGUAUCUCAAUUCUUCUGUGUACUCUUUUCUAAUAGUGCCCUGUUCAUGUUCUACCCACUGUAAAUACUUGCUAGUCCGUUAGAAUAUCAUUACCAUUCCCAUCAUUACAGAUACUCAGCAUUAGUUAAUCUCCUACACUGGAUUCUCUAACAUUGCAGCUGACACUAAAGAGUUUACAAUUUCAGAUCUGGAUGAAGAGGCCCACACAUGGAAUCCUACCACUUGGGAGGCUGAGGCAGGAGGACUGCUGUGAGCUCCAGGCCAGUUUGGGCUACGUAGUUGAAGGCCAGCCUGGAAUACAUAGUGAGACCCUGUCAGCCAGGUUCCUUCACCAGUGGAAUGGUAAGUGCCAUGUUUCAAAUACAGUUGCAAUGGUUCAUGCUUUCUUCAAAGGCCUGGGAGCUCCUGGGGGCUGGGAACCUUGCUUGGGGGGCCACAUUGUCUCCAGCUUCUCCCUCGCUGCCUGGUGCCUAAAAGGGCUCAGUAAAUCAGGUGGCACUGACUUCUCUGUUCCAGAACCCCCACCAGGUGUUGACUCAGUAAAGGUCUGUACAGAACCAGCCUUUCUCUCCUGUAAGCCUCCUCUUGACCAGCCAUGUGCCCAGGCCGGACAGGGAGAGGUGUUUCCUCUGUGUGCGCAGAACUGUCUUGGGAGGUUGGGAAACGGAAACAGAAACAUGCCUGGACCUUUUCGAGACA